rnacentral:tRNA from 1 species
GCCUGGCUAGCUCAGUCGGUAGAGCAUAAGACUCUUAAUCUCAGGGUCGUAGGUUCGAGCUCCAUGUUGGGCG